CCUACGGGAGGCAGCAGUGAGGAAUAUUGGUCAAUGGACGAGAGUCUGAACCAGCCAAGUAGCGUGAAGGAUGACUGCCCUAUGGGUUGUAAACUUCUUUUAUAAAGGAAUAAAACGAGGCACGUGUGCCUUUUUGCAUGUACUUUAUGAAUAAGGAUCGGCUAACUCCGUGCCAGCAGCCGCGGUAAUACGGAGGAUCCGAGCGUUAUCCGGAUUUAUUGGGUUUAAAGGGAGCGUAGAUGGGUUGUUAAGUCAGUUGUGAAAGUUUGCGGCUCAACUGUAAAAUUGCAAUUGAUACUGGCAGUCGUGAGUACAGUUGAGGUAGGCGGAAUUCGUGGUGUAGCGGUGAAAUGCUUAGAUAUCACGAAGAACCCCGAUUGCGAAGGCAGCUUACUAAACUGUGACUGACAUUGAUGCUCGAAAGUGUGGGUAUCAAACAGGAUUAGAUACCCGGGUAGUC
rnacentral:rRNA from 1 species